AGUAUUCACACACUGGACAUAGCAAUGCAGCGGUCCCACCUCUUUCCCCAGGACAGAGCGCACCUCAUAGCGCUGCAGAUAAAAGAAAAACUUCAAGCUGCAUUCUGAUGACCGGAGAACUUACAUUCAGAGCGCACUGGCGGCAGAAAAAUGAAUGUCUGCAGGAGACAACAUGGAACAGAGGAUAUAAAUUCUGAUUGAACCAUGAAUUGACAUCAUAUAUACAAGGAAAGUUGUGUCAUAUUUACAAAAUAAAUGACCAAUCAAAACGGAGAAUAUAUAUGGAUGAUAAAAGUCAAAUGUACAGUACAGUAACACCUACAGCACCAUCACUGCAGUAUUCAGAUAGUGAGCAUACCAUUACUAGCCAUAUGUUGCAAAUAAAUGCCACACUAUUAGCCUUCCUUACGGUUCCAGUAGAAUGAUGUCAUGCUUGUGUUGCACCAUCUAUUCACUUGUAUACAAAAUGCAUAUUCAACCUGAUUUAAAAUUAAAAUAUUGUCUUAAACAUAGCUCCUUAUAUUUGCUAUUUACUAAUGACUAGAUAUGAUAAAGUUUGUAUUAGAAUGUGCAAACAACAAAUUUCAUGUUCUCGCUAAACAUGGAACAAGACAUGUAGCUCUGUGGUUCUGGUGCCACCGACACGAUGGGGAACCUCCAGGACAUCAUCAAAGUGUCAUGUCUUCUUCCCCAACAUGUGACCAGACUUUGAUCUUCCACUGGAGACAUUCCUGUAGGACCAGUGGCACCAGAUGCAAUGAACUAGAGUCAUCAUUUGUCUGGGAAAAGCACAGGGAAACUAUCAAUUCUAAACAAUGCUGAACGGCUGUAUUACACACUUAUACCAAUGAUUAUGAGUUCUGAUACUGUGGAGUGGAACAACUAAAUCCUGCACAGAGAAGAUAAUGUCUAGUUGUUGUAAACAAAAAAAUGAGUCAGUGUUGAUUUGUAUCAUUCCAAGUCACUGAUAAAUCUGUAUCUUGCUAAAAUAUGUGAAGCAUCUUGUCUUCAGGUUCAAAUAAACAGGAUAAGCCAUUCA